rnacentral:rRNA from 1 species
CCCUACGGGAGGCAGCAGUGGGGAAUAUUGGGCAAUGGGCGCAAGCCUGACCCAGCAACGCCGCGUGAAGGAAGAAGGCUUUCGGGUUGUAAACUUCUUUUCUGAGGGACGAUAGUGACGGUACCUCAGGAAUAAGCCACGGCUAACUACGUGCCAGCAGCCGCGGUAAUACGUAGGUGGCAAGCGUUAUCCGGAUUUACUGGGUGUAAAGGGUGCGUAGGCGGGCUUUUAAGUCAGCGGUAAAAAUUCGGGGCUCAACCCCGUCCGGCCGUUGAAACUGGGGGCCUUGAGUGGGCGAGAAGAAG